rnacentral:misc_RNA from 1 species
UGUCCAUUGACGUGUGUCGUACCCGUGAGUCGAUCCGCUUUUUUAUUUAUUGCUCCACGUUCAAGCAUUCGAGGCUCGAGGUGGCUUUCUCCUGCGAAACGCGAUGCGUGCCAUCCCCUUGGCCUUUGCAGCGCAGAGCGCGACCACGCUGUUUGCUGCGUGCGCUGCGCGACGCUGCUUCCGAGAAGGGCGCGUCAGUUCGCCAGACCCCAGCCCAUCACCUCAUGGGACGCCAAACGGUGCAACCGGCCCCGCCGCUUCUACGUCUCCCUGCUCCUCGCCCACCUCUUCAAAGGUGGCAGCCACCGACAGUUUGCAGCUAGACGACACAGAUGAGUGGAUCUUGUCGUUUGUGCAGCGCUCCGUCGAGGGCGGUCGUCAGUCGCAGGAGGCUGCUGACUAUUUCCGCAGCAUCAUGCACGACGAGUCGGAUUUUCGGCAGUGCCUGCUCGAGGCACGUCGGCUGAUGGGCGGCCAAGAACCAGAGAAGCUCACCCGCUAUCAGCAAAGCCAGUUUGCCGACCGUUUAGGCACCUACAUGAGCGGCAUCGCCAGCGAUAAACUGCGCCGUGCACACGCAGAGGAACAGUCGACGAAGCGCUACGUGCAGGAAGGCACCCCGACAGGGGAAAACUACUGGUUCGAGGCGGGCAACACGCUUUCCUCGCCUGCCGUGCCCGGAUUUGUGAAGGAUGAUAUUUUGAAGGAUAUGCAGCGCGAGCGCACUGCGAAGAGCCCGGCGUUUGUGCAGCCGGCUGAGGAGGGGCAACUCACGGCCAAGGACGACGACUACGCGGCCCACGUCCGACGGCAGCGCCACAAGCUUCUGCGCGACGCCGAUUGAAAGGAGGAAAACGAGACAAGUGGUGUUGAGCGUCUCGGCUGCUGCGUGAGUGGAUGGGGUCUGUUGUGCGAAAUUAUCGGGUGCGAUUUUCGUGUCUUGGCGCAGCGCUCCUUGAGAGACGCUUGCAGAGCGCAUGCGCGGACUGCAGGCAAACACCUCGUCAGCAUUGGCACGUAGAAGUGGCUCUAUGGCACACUUGAUCGUGUGUGCGACUCGUCCGCAGUUUUGCUUAAGUGAAGAGAAGGUGCAUGACUGUUUCAGUGCGUUGGGUGCCACCGCAGCAGGCGGACGAAGCGGGGGCGAAAGUGUCGGCUGCGAGCUUCGGGGUGGGGUGGGGCAGCGAUGCACAUGCGUGCCGUUCCUCGUGCAUUUUCAGUCCUUCUUAGUCUCCUCUCUCUCUUUGGCUCGCUUGCCGCUCAG